CCUACGGGUGGCUGCAGUGAGGAAUAUUGGUCAAUGGGCGGGAGCCUGAACCAGCCAAGUAGCGUGCGGGAUGAAGGCCCUACGGGUCGUAAACCUCUUUUGCCCGGGGGUAACACCCUCCACUUGUGGAGGUCUGCAGGUACCGUACGAAUAAGGGCCGGCUAAUUCCGUGCCAGCAGCCGCGGUAAUACGGAAGGAGCGAGCGUUAUCCGGAUUCAUUGGGCUUAAAGGGAUCGUAGGCGGGAGUUCAAGUCAGCGGUAAAAUUGCGCGGCUCAACCGCGCCCAGCCGUUGAAACUGGUUGUCUUGAGUUAACAAGAGGUAGGCGGAAUGCGUGGUGUAGCGGUGAAAUGCAUAGAUAUCACGCGGAACCCCGAUUGCGAAGGCAGCAUGCCGGGGCUCGACUGACGCUGAGGCACGAAGGUGUGGGUAUCAAACAGGAUUAGAUACCCCUGUAGUC
rnacentral:rRNA from 1 species